UGGCCUCUUUGAUGCUCAACUAACAUUCAACUACAUGUCUAUUAAAUGCAAAUGAACUAAAAGGUGAAAGUAAAUGAUUCUCUAUUGAAUAUAACCCUACAUUCAACUCUAAUCCGAACGCUUAUCUUAAUAUUUUAGGAUUGGGUGUAGGGUUAGAUUUUAAGCUUAGGUUAAGGUUAGGGUUAGGUGUAGGGUUAGAUUUUAGGGUUGAUUUAGGGUUAAGGUUAGGGUUAGGUGUAGGGUUAGAUUUUAGGGUUGAUUAAGGGUUAAGGUUAGGGUUAGGUGUAGGGUUUGAUUUUAGGGUUGAUUAAGGGUUAAGAUUAGGUGUAGGGUUUGAUUUUAUGGUUGAUUAAGGGUUAAGGUUAGGGUUAGGUGUAGGGUUUGAUUUUAGGGUUGAUUAAGGGUUAA